AUUAGAACCAAUGAUGGUGAUGAUGACUGGCCAAUUUUAGGACUAUUGAUUAUCCUGAGAAUUUCUUCUUUUGGAGAAGAUGCUUCCCUUUGGCUUUCAGAUGCAAUGCUACAGAGUCCCAAUAGAUGAAAGUUUCCUUCAGAGACCAGAUAUCAUCACCUGCAAGGCUCACAACCAGCCACCCAGCAGUGGUAAAGCUCACCAGUGUCACCUGAGCAGAAGGCACCUAUAAGGCCUACAGACACAGUGCUUGAUGCUAUGCAGCUGGUGAGUGAGGACCACUGCACAACUGGCUGUUGGUGCUGUGUGCCUACCAGCAAACUCUCAGGGUAGUCCCUGCACAUGGACACAGCUGUGGCUUAAGGAUGA
rnacentral:lncRNA from 1 species